rnacentral:lncRNA from 1 species
CACAAACAAAUCGAUCCCGUUGUAGAAACCCUUGAGCUCAUUUGGGUUCAGAGAUCCCAAAAUAGUAACUUUCUCGCCAAGUUCCUUGUAACGGUUCUCCCAUGGUCCUGACCCAGCUACCACAAGGUGAACAUUUGAAUGUGUUUCGAUUAGUUUUGCGAAGGCUUCGUAGAGAAUCGGAUGUCCCUUGUCUUUCACCAAUCUCCCUGCAGCUCCUAAGACAAUAGCCGAUGAGUUUUCUUGUAACCCUAGUUUUGACCUAAACAGAGAACGUAGCUUCUUGUCUGAUUUGAACCCAUUUUCGUCGACUCCGUUGAGGAUCACAUGAACCCUUUUCUCCGGGAUUUGGUAAACGUCUCUCAGCAUUUCCCCGCAGCUGUCGCUGAUUGCGAUGUGAUGAGCGUAGUUGUGGAAGAAUCUGAUUUCAUCUAGUAUCUUGGGAAGCACGGCACCGUAUAGGCUUGCGUUGAAGCCUUGUGAUCUUGGUUCGCCUGGUUUACGGAUCAGGUCUUGGUAAAUGCUUGACUGUAAGCUCUCUAGUGCAAUGCCGUGCCACGAGACGGCUAGGUUUGGAACCUCUCUGGCGAUCCAGUGCGGUAGAGCCACACUUUCCGUGUGAACCACGUCAAAUGGUUCCUUUUUGUUUUCUUCUUGGUAAAGCUCCCAUGCUUUGUUGUAUCGCCAUUUUCCUGGCUCAGCAUCGCCGUGGGAAUGGAUUGUAGGGUUUAUGGUUUUGUCUGAAGCGGAAGUGAUUUUGUUGGUUUGAGGGGAAGAGUCUAAGGGAGAGGUGAAAACGUGGACGUGGUGUCCACGGCGGGCUAAAGCAGUGUAGAGAGUGAAGGCAUGGCGUUCCAUGCCGCCAGGGUUGGGUCCAGUGGGCCAUUUCCUGGAGAAAACUGCGAGUCUUAGGGUUUUAGGAGGAGGGUUGGUUAAGGAGAAAGAAAGGCGGUUCCAUGCAAAUUGGGCUGCUUGGAGAUCGCCAGACCACGGUGGCUGGUUUGUGUCAGAGGAGGGGGAGACUGCGGCGGUUGUGGAAGAGCAAGAAGAGGAGGUGCGGAGGAGGAAGAGGGCCGGGAUGGUAAAGAGGACGGUGAAGAAGAGGAAAGUGCAAAGGCUGAAAUGAGAAUUAGGUUUCUUGAGUUUGGUUUGUGAAGCCAUUGUUUGAUCUGGACAAUCUGAUGUUGUGUCUGCUUGUUCAACUAGAUGACAGAUAAAAGGAAAAUUGUGAUUUCUCAUCUCUGAGAAAUUAAUGAUAAACUUACAAUAUAAGUAAAUGAUAAAGUGGAGAUGGUCCAUUAAAGUUAACUUCAAUUUUAAUAAGAUUUUCUUUUAGUGGUUUGGUAACGUCUAAAUAUGACCAAGAAAGAAACGUGAGGCUGAGGCUUCAAUCACUUCUGCGAGAUCACUUUAGUUGUACAUAUGGGAAAUGUUCAUGUGACUUGUUGCGUGACUUUUUUACACAUAAAUAAUGUGAACACUCGUAAAUAUCAUGCAAAUAUUAAAAAUAAUAACGGUAUGGUAUAUUGAGGAACUAAACAUCUACAGUAUAUUAUAUUAUAGGUCAAUGGUCUAAAAACAUUGGUAAGGUCCGAAGCAAAACUAUUUAGUUAGUGUGUUUGGCCUCCACUUUUUGACUUUAUGAUUGUGAUAUAUCAUUUUUCUAAUGCGGAUUUGUUGGUAUUUUACAACUCAAGCAUUUGACUUUCUUAACUUUUUAGACUAUACAUUUCGUUGUAUAGUAUCAAACAUGCAUAAAUUUAAUGCAUAUGCGGUGGCAAAUGAUCUGGUAAUGCCUUUGUAUUGGAUUAUUAAUUAUUUAACAUGCAAGAGUUAUUUCUGUAAUAAGUUUACAUUGGAACUUUACUUCAAGGCUCAAUGAAUCUUAUCACAAGUCAAACUUUAGCUUUUACAUUUUCAAGAAUACUUCCUACGAAAAAAACUGAUUUUGAUAUUGUUGUACUGAUGAAACUCUUUUUGGAGAAACCUAACUUGCACUACAGAGAUUCAGUUCCCCAUUCUUGACAAUUGCUUAAGAAGUUAAGAUCAGCCACUUGAAACUACAAAAUUAUAUACAGUCUCUGUAGUAGUUCACGGAGCUAAGAUAGAUUUGUAACAUGAUUCCGUCUGAAUCUAACCCUUGUAUGAAAUCAACUUUCUAUAAUUAGCUAUUUCCAGAGAUUAGACUUGUGCAGGCUCCAUGUAACAAAGAAGAGAACACUCCUAAUCAGCAAAAGAGAUUUCUUCGUUUGUUCUUUUCCCGUUCAGUAGCUCUUCUUCUUGUGGACAGAAACAGCCUCUUUUGGACACAACAGCUUCAUCCAUAUCGUUUCAUUUAGAUCUCUUGAGGAAAAAUCAAAUACACUUUGUUUUCUUCUCAUCAGGUUUCCUUUAAAUACAUAUGAGCAAUACGACAUCGUAACACAAGACUCGAUUAUUAGAAAGCAGACUAAAGAUAACGAAACUCUCUUUCUCACUGAGAGUCCCCCACACUCGUUCAUUCUCCACUUCGCUCGCCCACCUCGCCCAGUGCGCUUGUUCUCUUCUUGAUCGUCCUUGCCAGCAUACGAAAGCCAAAGGCACUGCUAACCUAUUAGAAUGGCGCGUGUCUGCCCCUCGGAAACUGAUAAACACGUCUUAUUUCCCGCCGGGAAGGAUCCACGGAGAGCAAAAGUAUCUCUAUGGUUAGAAACUGAAGGAUAAGGUUUUGGAAUCAGUGGGUGAAACAGUAACUCUUUUGACUAUGAACAGUAACUCUUCACAGUGGGUAAUAUACACUAUGAAUCGCACUCAACUUGCUCCCACUUGAAAUUCGAAAACGCAGAAACGAUUCUCCGUCACAGAAAUGGACAGACUCCGCGCUCUCCGCCGUCAGGGAUUGCGCGAUUUCGAGCCGUCACUCCCGCCGCGAUUUAUGGAUAGAAUCCUCGACCGUAUGAAGAAAUCUUCGAGUCGGAGGGGGAUAAGCCGCCGCCGGCUAGAACGGUGUUCUAGCUCCUUAGCUGAAGAUCUAUCAGUCUCGACUUCUUCUUUCACGACGCGCUCUCUGGAGUUACCCGAUAGGACUAGUUUCCGUCUCUUAGCAGGAGGCGGCGAUGGCGAAUUGGAUCGGAUUUACAAGUCCCUUGGCGUUUCUGGUCCCGACGAUUUGGCGAUUUCUUUUGACGCGUGGGAGGCUUGCAAGACGCGUUCCUCCUCUGGUAUUGUUAAUAGGUUUCAGCCUCAGGCCGAUGUUUUGAGUAGUGGUGUUGAUUCACUGGAUCGGGACGAUACUGGUGGUGUGGGCAGGUUCUUCAAGGAGCAUGCGAGUGAAAAAGCUAGUGAGAAAGAGCAUGGCGAGAUGAAUCUCAAGGAAGUUGAAACUCCUUUCCAGCCAAAACUAUCUGAGCAUUGCGUUACGGGGUCUGACCCUAUAUUAGUUAUUUAUUGUGGUGACAACCAGGUCUCCGAGGAGAUAUACCUCAUCAGCUACAUCUUCAACGAGUUGUGUGCCCGUGGCUUUGCCCCUUUGAGAUAUGAUAUGAAAAAGAGCACUGUGACUGAAAAUCAGAAACUGCUACACAUAUCACGGGUUGGUAUUAUCAUUUUCUCGAUGAACUUUGCUCAUUCCAGAGAGUGUCUGGAUGGAUUCGUGGCAGUCAUGGAUCAUUUGAAAGCUAACGAGCUUGUGCUUAUUCCUGUGUUUUUUAAAGUAAGUGUUUCAGACGUCAGGGGCCAAAGUGGCUCUUUUGGAAAAGCAUUCACACGACUUGGGGAUUCAGUCAUGGCCUCCCAAGUUCUGAAAUGGAGGGCGGCUAUGAUCAAAUUAGCUUCCAUCAUUGGAUAUGCGUAUAAGAAGGGGUAUAUUGCUUUCUCUUUUUUUUUUGCAAUAUUUUUUAUAUUUGUAUGGUGUGGUAUAUGACUCUGAUUCUGAUGUUUUCUCUGUGCAGGGAUGAGGUUAUUCUGGCCAAGAAUAUUGUCAGAGAUGUCUGUUUGCCGCUCAGUUCCGAAACCAACAUGAAGCUAAGAGGAACGAGGCUUUCAUUAAAAAGUAUAUUGUCUCUGCUGAAUCGUUCUCAACCCUCAUCUUCACAGAUUGUUGGACUUUGGGGUAUGGCUGGCAUAGGGAAGACUACCAUCACGAGAGACUUUUUCAGAUCACAAGCUGAGCAAUAUGACGUGUGCUACUUUCUGCCUGACUUUCAUCUAUUGUGUCAAACAAAAGGGCUGAGUUAUUUGCGUGAUGAUUUCUUCUCGAAAAUAUUUGGCGCAGAGAAAGUUUUCGUAGACGCAUGUGAUACAAAACCAAGCGUCACAAGGGAUAGGUUCCUCGGUAAAAAGGUUCUGAUUGUUCUUGAUGGUGUGAGUAGUGCCAAAGAUGCAGAAGUUUUGGUUGGAGGGUUUGGCUGGUUUUCUGGUGGACAUACAAUCAUCUUAACAUCUAGGAAUAGGCAAGUUCUUGUACAGUGUAACGCCAAAGUGAUUUACGAGAUCGAGAAGCUACCCAAGCUUGAGUCUCUUCACCUUUGUUGCAAGUUUGCCAGUAAAGAAAAUUGUAAAGGAAGAAUGUCGUUGACAUCGGAGCUUGUGGACUACGCUAGUGGCAAUCCUUUGGCUCUGCGAGUCUUAGGUUUGUCUAUUCAAAAUCAAUCUAUGAAAGAUCAGAAACAACAUCUGAGAAGACUGCGUCAACAUCCUCCAGUCAAAAUUCUGAAUGCAUUUAAAAUAAGUUUUAAUGGACGAGAUGAUGACGAGAAGAGCAUAUUUUUGGACCUGGCUUGUUUUUUCAGAGGGGAGGAUAGAGAUCGUGUGGUGAAAAUCCUUGAUGGUUGCGGUUUUUCUACAGAUUUAGGAAUCUAUGGUCUCAUUGAUGAGUCUCUCAUCAGCCUUUUAGAUAACAAGAUAGAAAUGCCCAACAUUUUCCAAGACGCGGGUCGAUUUGUUGUUUGUCAAGAACACGAAGAGCCAGGCAACCGUAGCAGAUUGUGGGAUUCUAGUGACAUUGCUGGUGUCCUGAAAAAUAAUACAGUAAGUCUUUGAAAAUGUGUAAUGAUAUUCUAUUUAAACUUAAGAUUGAGGUUCCUUUCUUCUCUCAGAAAAAAACUGUUUGCCAUUUUUUUCAGGGAACAGAAGCAACUGAGGGAAUAUUUCUGGAUGCAUCUGGCUUGACAUUUGAUUUGAGCUCUACUGCAUUUGAGAGGAUGUAUAGACUUAGAUUGCUCAAGAUCCACUGUCCAACUUCUGUAAAUCAUUGCAAGGUUUGUCUACCUGAAGGCCUCCACUCUUUGCCUGAUGAGCUACGCCUACUCCACUGGGAAAAAUAUCCUCUUGGAUCGUUACCUCGGAACUUCAACCCUAAAAAUCUUGUAGAACUGAACAUGCCAUAUAGCAACUUGACAAAAGUAUGGAAAGGAACAAAGGUAUGUCUUGACAUUAUGGUACAAUCUGCUGCAUACAUGAAGUAGUUAGCAUUUACUUGAUGACUCAUCUUGUUUUUUUUGUGCUGUAAUCAGAAUCUUGAGAAGCUAAAGAGGAUCAUUCUGAGUCACUCUCAACAGUUGACUAAAUUCCCAAGGCUUUCAAAGGCCAGGAACCUUGAGCAUAUUGAUCUCGAAGGAUGUACGAGUCUGGUUAAGGUUAACUCAUCUAUUCUUCAUCAUCACAAGCUUACUUUCUUGAGUCUGAGAAACUGUUCUCGUUUGCGAGUUAUGCCUACCACGGUUCAUCUAAAAUCUCUUGAGGUUCUUAAUCUAUCUGGCUGCUCAGAGCUCGAGAACCUUCAGGAUUUCUCAUUAAACCUGAAAGAAAUAUAUCUAGCUGGGGCUGCUAUUAGAGAAAUUCCGUCGUCGAUUGGGGAUCUCACUAGACUUGUUACAUUAGAUCUGGAGAACUGUGAAAGUCUCCAGCACCUGCCACCGGGGAUAAGUAACUUGAAAGCCAUGAUGACACUUAAGCUGUCUGGCUGUUCAAAUCUGAAGAGCCUUCCAGUUCUUGAUGCAUUAUUUCUCCAAGAUUCACAACGUUCUAACACAAGGAUAACCAUGGAAGAAUCUGUGUCCAUAAACCUUCACUCUGCUAUUCAAGAAUCAAGGUUAGAUGGCUCUAAAACCCUUCUGAAGUUAGAUAAUUUGCAACUGAGAUCAGAUAUUCACGGUUCUUUUUUCAGCAGAGAAGCAUUCUUACCAGCAUUUGAAUAUCUAUCAAACAACGGAAUACCACAAGAAAGCUGGACACGGGUCACUGUUAUUCCGUUCCCCUCACCCAUUUUACACUCAUUGGCGUCUAGGCUAUAUGCGCUAGUAUCGUUGUUCCUUUGUAAUGCUUACCUGGUGGAUAUACCUGAAGAUAUAUGUUGGCUUGCUUCGGUGAUGAGACUAGAUCUUGGUGGAAACUCUUUCAGCCAGAUUCCUAAAAGCAUCAAGGAGUUUCGUAACCUACAUAGCCUUAAUUUGCGCCAUUGCAAAAACCUCAAAUCGCUACCUGAGCUUCCUAGAAGUCUAGUAACCUUGAACGCCCAUGGCUGUGUGUCUCUCAAAUCAUUUCCAACGAGUUUCGAGCAGUUCCCAAGGCACUUCACAUUCAGUAAUUGCUUUAAUCUGUCCCCAAAAGUGGUUAGAGAAUAUAUAGGAAAAGCUCUUGAUAGCGUUAAAGGCAUGGCCAAGGGGAUUCUGCAGGUAUCCUCUCUAUUUCAGUUUCUAUCUGUCUCUGCCUCUCUUUUUUCGUCUAUAUUUCCCUCACAUACGUUUUUAGACUCACAUUUCGCAUAUACAUAUGAUAUUUUUAGGCUUCACUGGAACAGGAACACAUCAACGAUCCUGCAUUCAACAUCUGUAUACCUGCCUCUGCAGGCCAGCAAUCCUCGGUUAAUUUUCAAGCUGGUUCUUCUGUAAGGAUACAGCUAGCUCCUGGCAUGUUAAAGACUCUCUCAGGCUUUGUUUUAUCAGUAGUAGUUGAAUUUUGGGAUAAUUAUAGCAACACUGCUGGUUUUGGCAUCAAGUGUAUAUGCAGGAAGAGCAGAAUAGACCUCUCGCCUAGAUUAGAGAGAAUUUUCCAUUGUUGGGCUCCAAAGGAACCUAUCACCGUUCAACGGGAUCAUAUGUUUGUUUUUGGGAGUGUGAAAAUGCAUCAUGCAGAAGCUGUUAACCAUGAUUUCCUGUCUGAUUCAGUGACCUUUGAGUUCCAUCCUGUCAAUUCGGAGAACCAGCUCGUAGAUGAUAGCUGCACAGUGAAGAGAUGUGGAGUGUAUUUAAUCACCGAUGCGACAAGUAAUACGGCUCUAAGCGCAAAACGCCCUUCUUCUUCCAUGGAUCCAGGGGGGCUUUCUAGCAUGGAGCAUGUGGCACCGCCAUAUAAGAAAUGUCGAUUGAAGGGAGUUAUUGAAAUUGUUAUUCUAAGCUUAAGAAAAAGGAAGCGAGAACUGAGCGUCCCUACAGUCAAAAACGUUUCUACGGUAAAAUCCCUGUCCCUGAGAGUUCAUUGAGCCCUAUGGCCUCAUAUGGUGCCCCGUAAAGCUAGUAGUUGCAGUCUUGCAGACAUUGAUUUUUCCUUCCAUCAACCUCAUCAUACACUGAAACUGGUCCAAGGAACUUGAACCUGAUGUCUGUUUACGUAUUUUGGUGAUCUAUUUCCUUAUUCAAAUCCUUUCCAUCUAUUUUUCACAGGUAAGACGUCUGUGCAGAUCGUAUGUUCGCACUGGAAGCUGUGCAGUGGGUCCUAGUUGUUCUUUUGAUCAUCCGAACUGGGUGUUAACACACAAGACCGCAUCUUCCAUUCCUUCCGAGAGUCCACCCAUGGAUAUGCUAGGACUUUCUUCAUAUGGUAAGCCAUCAGAUAAGCGCGUGGAAACAUCAACUGAGAAACCCAAAAGACUCUCUGUGUCUGAGUCAAGACAAGCAACCUCUGGUAUAGACACCAUUGAUGCAGAGCAGGAAGAAGAGUAAGCUUUGUCUCAAAAAGAGUGUUAAGCUUUGAUGAUUGGUUAUGGAGAAUCAGAGUAAGUCAUUUUCAUUUAUGUCAACUCUCGAGCAUUAUUUUUAUUGCAGAGGUAAAUUAAUCUUACGCGAGGUUUUUGUAUUUAUACUGUCGAUAGGUAUAGGCGAAAUGUGAUAGCGCGCACUUAGUGCAAAACGGCAAGCUUCUUGCAUGGAUCCAGUGGAGCAUAUGGAAUCACCAUAUAAGAGAUGCCGAUUAAUGAGUGUUACUGGAACUGUCUUAAGAAAAGGAAACGAGAACAGAGUGUCUCUGGAGACAAACCGUUAUAAGUUAAAAUCUGAGUCUUCCAUUGACUUACAUAUAAGUAGGUAGCUUUCUGAUGCAAUUUUGAAGACGCUCAAAUUGAUUUAAUGCUGAUUUGUAUUACGUAUGGCUUCCGGCCCUUCGAUAACUGUUUUCACCAUUUGCUUCUUCCUCGAUUAACUGAUGGUUUUACGAAUAUGAAUGAUGAUUCCAUUUCCAGGCUAGCUUAAUUUUUGCAGGUUCAUCUUGGUCCAGUUUCUGCUCGCUUCGAACAUGAUCAUAACUACAGAAAUCUUGAGCAGAAUGAGGAAAAAGAGUUAGGCUGUCACAAGGUUUUAAGGACUGAGACCGAGUCCAACUCUUACCUAAAAGACUCACAGACCUCUAUCCGUAAACCUACUCUCAGUCAGCUGCUCGGGUUCAACAGGUUUCCAAGGCUCGAUCUUUUGAGAAGAUAGGGAACAAAAGAGUUUGGAGAUAGCGAUGGAUCCAAACCAAGACGCCCGGGCUUAUAUAGUCCAUGAAACAAAGACGGGUCUUAUACUCAUUAAGUCAUAGCAAAUGUGUAAGAUUUGAUGAUUGGUAAUGAAGAACCAGUAUUUAUACUAUUGAGAUUUACAAAACAGAAAUAGUUGACAGAUGUUCUAGGAAAAUUAUAUUUUGUCAUUAAAAUGAAACAAAUUCCAAAUAUCUAAGCAAAUAAUCGGAUCGUAUUAUGACAAUUAAUAACAUUUCUUUUUAAUAGAUGACGUGGAUAUCCGAUCCGCCGUAGAUUAAAUCUUCGCAGUGAACCCGCACUGCUCACCACCACCACCCCUCGGACCAUCAUCACACCGCGUCUCGACCCAGAGGGCUUCCUCAGUCCUCCACAACUCUCCCUUGCGUUCUUACUUCUCUCUCCAGAUCCAAACUCUCACCAUUCUCAUCACAAAGAGAACUACAAUCUCGAUUCACUCUCUCCCAAAUCUCUAAUCCGAUUUCGAGAUUCAAUCCUCCCCCAGAUCACCUUUUGUUUCGGUUCAUGAUUCUGAUUCCGUGAGAGACCUUAUGGAUUCGCAUCCUUCCUUAAUCGGAAGGUCCAUCGGCAACAGCAACCGAUCCAGCGUAGAUCUCGGCCGUUCAACGCCUUCCUCUCCUUCCCCUUCAUCGCUAACCAAAUCGAUCUCCGAUGCAAGUAGCCAGAGCCUCUCUUCGAUCCUCAACAACCCGCACGGAGGCAAAUCCGGCGUCUACGGCUCCGACGCCUCCUGGGUUGGUUGGUGGUCAUCCUCAACCUCCGUAGCUCCCUCCGAGUUCGCGCCCGUCGCUUCGACCAAGCUCCCCGGGUCGGACCUCACCAGAUCCGACUUCCACGGCUACGUUUCCUCGAUCUCCGACUCUCACGCUAGGUUCGAGGAUAUCAGGAACCACGCCAAGGAAGAGAGCUCCGGGUUCGAUCAGGAGAGCCACGUGUCCGGUUUGGCUUCGUGUCUCCGCGAGGUUCCUUCGCUCUACUUCAAGGAGGAUUUCGCGUUGGAGGACGGAGCUACAUUUCGCUCCGCGUGUCCUUUCUCGACGUUGACGGAGAAUCUAGCGCUUCAGGAGAAGCUGUCGCAGUAUCUCGAUGUGGUGGAGAUGCAUCUUGUGAAGGAGAUCUCGGUGAGGUCUGAUUCGUUCUUCGAGGCGCAGGGGCAGUUGCAGGAUUUGAAUGUGAAGAUUGUUGAGGGGUGUAGUAGGAUCCGUGAGUUGAAAGAGACUAUUAGGCUUCUUGAUAGGAACUUGGUGGAUUCUGCUAGGCAGAUUCAGGAGCUGAGCUCGACUAGGAUUAAUAUGUUGGAGCUGCAGCGUAAAUUGAGGGUCAUUUUGUAUGUUAACCAAGCUCUCUCUGCACUCAAAUUGGUAAUUGUUCUUAGACUGAUUCGCUUUGAGUAGUGUCAAGUUAGCUACUUUUGAGUGUUUCCACUGUUUUCCUGAUAGAAGUUUGAUUCUUUAUUGUUCAGCUUGUUGCGUCCGCAGAUUGUGCUGGAGCGUUGGAUAUAACUGACGAUCUCCAGAACUUGUUGGUAAGUAAUCUGUGACUGAUGUGGGGGGUACUGUUAGAUGGUUAGAUUGAUCUUUCGUAAGAAGCUAAAAUUGUUUUAUCUCCUUAUCAGGCCGGGGAUGAGCUAACUGGUCUACAUUGCUUCCGUCACCUUCGAGAUCAUGUCACUACUUCCAUAGAGUCUAUAAACAGGUGCGAAUAUGAUAACUGACUAAAAUAGGCUGUGUUCAGUUUGACUGUACUGCUCUUUUAGGAGAAGCGUUUAAAUUGUUUGAGCUUUUGUUUUAACGGCAGUAAUUAGUAAAGUGUUUCUUAAAUUUGUGGAUAGAAUGGAACACAAUUGGACCCAGUGGGAUUUCAUGUCAAUUGUGCCAAGUACCAAACCAGCCAACUAAUUCUGAUCUAGUGAUUAUGUUUUUAGUUCUGUUGUUGAGCCUCUUGGAUUUUCUCUGAUAACGAAGGCAGUUGAUAUUUUGAAAAAUGCUUACAGGGUGUUGCAGCUAUGUUUUUUCCUUCUGUGACAUUCUUUGGCAGCUAUGGUUUAUUCAUAGCAAAUAGUAUCUCUGUAAUCUGCAAAGGUCACUGUUUCUUACUGUAUAUCAAUCGUUUCAUGCGGCAGACAUUUUCUCCGUCUGAUGAUUAGGAAUAUACCCAGGCUCGUAGGCAUUUGCGUCAAUUAAAUGUUUAGUAUAUUGAUUUUCUUUAGCAGUGCUGUUUCGUGAAAUUUCAGUAGUUCACUGUUUUAGUUCACCUUCUAUAUUUACCUAUCCUGUUUCUCUAUUACUCUCUUUAAUUUGUUUAUUUGGUCUAAUGUCUGAUAGCUUGUUGAUUUUUUCUUUGUAGUAUUCUCACAGCUGAAUUUAUGCGUAUCUCAAUACACAAUACUGGGGAAAUAGAUGUACUGAUUUUAUCUGCUGCAAAAAAACGUGGAUCCAUAUCUUCUAACUGGGAGACGGGUGAAGUAAGUCUCAUCCGAUACAGAUGCAUAUUUUUGAUGAAUUUGGGCGCUUUUUGUACCAUGUGGAGCUUAAAACUGAAUAAAUCUUUACCUGUGAGAAGCGGUAGAUUAAUCAGAAAAUAAGUGGAAGAAUAUCCAGCAUGACUCGUAAUAAUAAUCUUCCACCUUUGCAGGUUAAGAUAGAAGAAGAAGAUACGUCUACCUUAUGUGAUCGGCUUCUUCCUCUAGUAAUUGGAUUGCUAAGAACGGUGAGUGGCCGUUCCUUUAUUUUUUUCAACACAUGCUAGCACUGAGGUUCACAAUGGUUUUUUGUUUUAAUAUCUUCGUUAGUGCUAUCUCUGGUCAUUAUUGUUUGAUUCGUAUUAAUUGUUUAGUCUGAAUUAUGUUUCUCAUUUGUUUUUCUUUGAACUGUUUAUUGUAGGCAAAGUUCCCAUCAAUUUUGAGGAUGUAUCGUGAGGCACUGACAUCUGAAAUGAAAAACGCAAUCAAGAACGCAGUUGCUGAGCUGCUUCCAGUUCUUGUUGCAAGAUCGCUCGAAUCUGAUUUUUCACAUGGGGAGCGCUCAGUAGAUGUUGAUGGUGAGAUUAUAAUUAUUAUUACUAUGUAUUAAGAUUGUCAUGUGACUUAGUUUAUGUCUGAUACAUAGUUGAACAUAAGUUUAGUACUUGAAAAUACUGUGUAUUUACAUGUGCUUGUUUUUUUUUGUCCUCUAACUUAGUAACUUGAUCUGAGACCCGGCAGGGACGUAGUAUACAUGGAAAUUAGUUAACUGAUGAAGAAUGUUGGCUGAAGAUUUAUUUUUAUCCUUCUCUUAGGAUAAUGUAUUUUAUUUCGCUGGUAGUUUGUCUCUCCGGAAUCCAUUCUUAUUCCUAGUGCGUAUACAGGUGGUGGAUUAUCUCUCGCGAGCAAGUUGAGGGCUCUGUCAUCUGAGGCAUUUGUUAAUCUCUUAACUGCUAUAUAUCGGAUUGUUCAGGUAAUAUAUGCAUCAAUUAUGAAUUUUUUUUUUAUUUAAACAAGCAUUAUAGAAGUACUACAUAUAUGUCUAUUUAUGUUACACCAUUGGCAGCAUCUUUAUUUUGAUUUUGAUACAUAUACCUUAUUGAGGCUUAAAACGUUUCACCCUCUUAAGCAAUUAGACGAUUGGUUAAGAUGUAACAUGAUUUCAUUUCAUUUAGUGAAUGCAGGCACAUCUUGUUCGGGCUUCAGAAGUGAAAAAGGCAAUUGAAUGGAUCCUCUGCAAUAUCGAUGGACAUUAUGCAGCUGAUUCCGUUGCAGCUGCAAUUGCUGUUGGUGCUGUAGCGGCCGAAUCAAUCCAGGAAACAGGUUUCCAAGGCGAGCUGUCUUCUCCAUUGGGUAAGGCUACCUUAAAGGCUUCUCCAUUGCAGAGAAAAACAAGCGACACAUCAAGCUUGAUAAAUAUGUCAAGAAACUUCAGGUUUUCUGGUUUAUUUGUUUAUUUAUUUAUUCCAAAUUGUCGCAGUUGCCUGUAACACAAACCUUUGUUAUUCUUGAAACUAAAGUAGGUUUUCUAUUUCUCUUAUUUAUAUAGAGCCGAUGUCUUGAGAGAAAACACAGAAGCUGUCUUUGCGGCCUGUGAGGUUACUCAUGCUAGAUGGGCAAAGCUACUAGGAGUCCGUGCUCUUCUUCAUCCAAAAUUGAAAUUGCAGGAGUUCAUGAGCAUUUAUGAUCUCACCCAAGAAUUUAUAACAGCUACAGAAAAGGUGUUUGUUCAAAACUUUUCUUUCAUAAAAGAGAUAAGAAAUUGCAUUGCUAUUCUUGCCUGACAUUCUUAUGGAAAUUAUCAGAUUGGCGGACGGUUGGGAUCUAGUAUUCGUGGGACGCUGCAAUCACAAGCCAAAGCCUUUGUAGAUUCCCAGCAUGAAGCUCGGGUUAGUCUAUGUAUAUAUAUACCUUUAGAAGUUUUACAGAAAGGACAUCUACAUCUUUGUUUACUUCCAUGGCUUACAAAAAAAAGUGGGAGAAAAUAGUUACACUAAGAGCAAUAUGCCCAAAGCCAUCUCUAUACUUUGUGCAGCAGAAAAGUUAAACUUACAUUUAAUAACAGAGUAGUGUUGAGCUAUAUUGACUUCAUCCCAUAGAUCCAUAGUCCGUAAUUAUUUUACCACCUAACUUCUUUCAUUAUCAAGUGUUCUGGUCGUUAUUCUAAGUUUUAUCUUACUUUGUUGUAGAUGACAAAACUGAAAGCUGUCCUUGAUCAAGAAACAUGGGAUGAGAUGGAUGUUCCCGAAGAAUUCCAAUCCAUAAUCAGUUCUCUUUUCGCAUCCCAGGAGUUGAUUUCAAGGAAAGUUGAUGAUGCUGAUACUAUAACAUACCACAGAAACCCGCUCACUCCCAAUGGGUCUCUCACUUCAGGAACUGAAGAUCAAAAUACUGAACUACGAAAUGAAAAUUCUGAAUCUAGUGAAGGUCCUGCUGUUAGUAAUGCACAAGUGAAAUCUACAGUUUCACCUGAAUCUCUUGAAAGAAGCAAGGCUGGUGUAUCUUCAGUUGCGAAAGCGCACGUAAAAUCUAACCUUUUCUAUCAAGGAGUUGGUUACCACAUGGUAAACUGGUUAGUUUUCCUGUUAUUCAGCGUUAUGUUACAUAUCCGUUUUCUCUAGUAAUUCGAAUGGCUGUUGAUCAAUGAAUAUUUCUCUCUAUAUAUAUUUGUACCGUCUGCUAGGUUUGAUUCCUUAAUGUUUAGGUUUAGCUGCUGUCCCGGCUGUUAAUUUUGCUUAUGCUGAUGCAAUUCCUUGAAUGUCUGCAGUGGGUUAAUAUUACUCAAGAUGUUGUCAGAAUACAUUGAUAUGAAUAAUUCUUUGCCAGCUUUGUCCUCGGAAGUUGUUCUUCGUGUUGUUGAAGUGCUGAGAUUUUUCAACACUAGGACAUGCCAACUUGUUCUGGGUGCUGGUGCUAUGCAGGUAAAAAUAUGCUUUAAAUGUAGAAAAUAGUAAUGGUAAUUGCUGAUUAGUUUUAUUGAGUUUUCUAACCAAUGAUCUGUGAUCUUUUGCGUAACCAAAUGUACACACCUGACCUAUUUGUCUUUCGCAAUUGAACUUUUUGACAUAAAUUUUGGUUCUUGUUUACGCAAAACAGAUGUGAUCUGUAAUAUUGACCGUUUGAGUGGGAAUUUUCAUGCUAUAGGUUUCUGGUUUAAAGUCCAUAAAGGCAAAACACUUGGCACUUGCAAGUCAAGUAAUCGACUUCACUUACACUAUUAUUCCUGGUAGGUGAUAUUUUGUCAUUUCUUUCUAAUUGUUGCAGUUAUAAUGUGUGUUUAGCGGAGUUAAUAAUGUAUCGUUCUUUUUCUGGUCCUAGAAUCCAGAAGAAUUAUGUUUUCAAAAGUACCCGAGACGAGAAAGCCACUCUUGUCAGUAGAGAUUGAUAGAGUCGCUCAUUUGGACCAAACAGUGUUGGAGUUAACCACAACAUCUUGAUCACAAACAUACCAAUAGGAUCGUUGAUCUAUGGAUUCUUGGCUGCAUUGGUCUAUGACUCACAUGGUUCGACUGUGAUCAAAUCGAUGAAAGACUCCGUCGUGUGUAUGGGACGGGGUUGCUAUUACUUGACCUUUGUGUGGUGGGGAUGCUUGUCGGUUCUUGGACUCGCUUCUAGUCUUGUGUUGUUUAUUAGGACUAGAAGAGCUUAUCAACGGUUUGAACAAGCUCGGAUAAAUUCAAAUAUUGAUUCAUAGAAAUUUACCUUCAUUCCCCAACGGCUUGUGUAUAUCACAGUAUAUGUAGGGAUCUAUAUUUAACAGACGUAUUAAUGGACUGUUAUGGAUUUUGGCUGAUAAUAUUUUGUUGUCGCUGAUUUAUUAUAGUCUCAAAUUCUGAUAAUUGUUAAAUUAUCCUAUCAUUUCUACAAUAAUAUUAUUUAUUUUGUGAGAAUUUACGUUUGACAGCCCUACUUGCAAUUAAAUCAAUUUAUGCUCUUUCUUUUAUGGUGGUGGAAACAUUCCUGACUGAUAAAUUUAUACCGUUUUUAAAAAUACAGUUUUUAAUCAAUAUAUAAAAUUUUAAAAAAUUAUUUUGCUCGAGAAAGCAAUGUAUUUGGAUGUGCAAUCUCGUGUAACCGUUAAUUCUGAAGUGAUUUUUUAGUACCCCGUCAAUUAUGAAAUGAUUACAUUACUGAAGACUCACCUUUUCAUUACAGAUAUAAAUAUAUAUAUAUAUUAAAAUGUUGAUAAAUCAAAGAUACUCGAGUAAUUAAAACUAUACUUACUAAUUUAGGGGUAGAUACAAAACCUCUGAUCCUUGAUACAAAGAAAAAGCCUCUCAUAAGCUAAAGCCAUCUUACUCGCCGUAAACAUCUCCGCCGCAUACUCUUUACACUUCCUCCCUCUCUCCGCCAAUCUCUCCGCUCCUUCCGCCACCGCAACUUCCAUAACCGCCGUCAAAGCCUCCACAUUCGGCGCAAACAUAAACCCAAACUCGUCGUUCACCACAAUACUCCUCUUUAUGCUUGCGUACCUCGACGCCAUCACCGGUUUACCACUCAACAUCGCUUCCAUCAAAGUCAAAUCAAGACCUUGUGGUCUAAGCGUUGGAUUCACAAACAAAUCGAUCCCGUUGUAGAAACCCUUGAGCUCAUUUGGGUUCAGAGAUCCCAAAAUAGUAACUUUCUCUCCAAGUUCCUUGUAACGGUUCUCCCAUGGUCCUGACCCAGCUACCACAAGGUGAACAUUUGAAUGCGUUUCGAUUAGUUUUGCGAAAGCUUCGUAGAGAAUCGGAUGUCCCUUGUCUUUCACCAAUCUCCCUGCGGCUCCUAAGACAAUAGCCGAUGAGUUUUCUU